CAAAAAUCCAUAAUUAUAAUUCUCCUUUUCAUACUGUUAGUUGCUUACAAAUAUCUUAACUGUUUUUAUAUGAAUGAUUGAUCAUAAAUAAUAAUUCUUAAAUGGCAAGUUCAGCAUAUUUUACUAAUAUAGAUAAUCAUUAUGAAGACUGCAUGAGGAUUAUGAUAAGGGCAUAAUGUUGCAGAUAUCGCUGUCUUUUGAAACAAAUCCUUGUACAUUAAUAUUUGUGGUUUGAUUUGUAAUUUUGGUAGUUCAUCAAUAACAAUUUCUGUCUAUAAUCUGGUACUGGUGUUGUUCAGGAGUAACACCCCUUGAAAAAGAAAAAUUAUUUUAUGUGGUGGAUAUUUGUUUUUAUCAUUUUGCCAGUCUCCAUACCAGCAUAUACAAAAUUUGUACUACCUGAACAUUCAAAUUUGUGGUAAAUAGAUAAUCAAUUAACGUUUGUUGUCUAAAUUAAAGGAAUUUGCCCAUAUUUUUCAAGGAUUUCAUCUCAAAUUAUUGUAGCAAGCUCUAUAUUUGAUAUUGAAGUAAAUUACUUUCAGAGUUAUAACAGACUUUUUUUCAUUAUUUUCUUUUGACCAAUGUGAAAGAGAAUUAUUGCAAUAUUGUGUUAUUAAAUCCAUGAAACAAACAUUCUUUUUAAGUUGUGUAUAAAAACUACCAAGUUAUUUUUAUCAUGUUACACUUUAAAUAUUUCAUUUGAAAGUUGUUUUAAGUGGACUACAAAAAAAGCUCUGUUUAUUAGUAAAAAAAAAUAUAUCUAUAUCUUGAAUAGAUUAAAAUAUUAUAAUUUUACUGAAAAGUGCACACUUUAACACAAUUAUCGUCAUUGAUCAGCCUGUGUUUAAUCAUCAUCUCUUGAACAUCAUUUGACAUCUUUAAAUCUUCAUUUUAGAUUUGUGUAUUAAGUAAUUGCAGAUAUUGUAUUAGUUUUGUUCUUGUUGGUCAACUUUUAUUUUGAUUUCAUUAUGACCCUUGGAUUGGUACCAGUUGAUGGAGAUGACUGGUUUACUCCUACUUUUUAAUCCUUGAUAUUUUGGGAAGACAUCUGUAAUAUAACAUCAUAAGAUUCUAAAAUGUGGGGGUUUAACUGCAUGUUAGGUUUAAACACUGAUUCAUCAUCAUAAUCAUCAUAAUCAUCAUAAUUAUCAUUAUCUAAAUGAUUUUAUGCAAAUGACUCCUAGAAAUUCUGUUGGUUGUAGUGAGAUUCCUGCUGUCUCCAGUCCAUGGUAAUGUCAUAGCCUGUACACAUCAUAAAACAUAUAAUUUUUAUCCUAUGUAAAAACCAAUGUGACAAGAAAAAUGGGUACCAGUAUGUCAUUGCAGUACCUGGUUUCCACAUGACUGGCUUUAGUGCCAGGCUAAUUAAAAUAAAUGCAACUUAGUAAAUCUUAUCUCAAGCAGGAUUUUCAGGAAUCAGUAUUUUUUAUCUUCUCUAACUUAAAACCAUUCUAAAAGGAAGAACCAAAAGGAGAAAAAUUCCAAUUUUUAUUAUUUUGGCAGCUAAUUAAAUGAACAAAUCAAUCAGUUUGUAGACUUUUAUACAGGCUUAAUGUGUAGUCCCAUUCAUACUUAAUUUUUAUAUUUGAUUUUUUUACCAUUGCUUUGUUUGUUAAAGGGAGAUAAUUGUUAGUCAAGAAACAUGCAUUUUUAUUACAGGAAACUGUAUACUGUUAUUGUAAAUUGUUUAUGAAUGUCACAUCAUCAAAUUAACUGAUUAACAUCAAUAAAUAU
rnacentral:lncRNA from 1 species